rnacentral:rRNA from 1 species
CAAGUCGAGCGGCAGCACGGGUAGCAAUACCUGGUGGCGAGCGGCGGACGGGUGAGGAAUACAUCGGUAUCUGCCUCGUCGUGGGGGAUAACGUAGGGAAACUUACGCUAAUACCGCAUACGACCGAGAGGUGAAAGCGGGGGAUCGAAAGACCUCGCGCGAUGAGAUGAGCCGAUGUCGGAUUAGCUAGUUGGCGGGGUAAGAGCCCACCAAGGCGACGAUCCGUAGCUGGUCUGAGAGGAUGAUCAGCCACACUGGAACUGAGACACGGUCCAGACUCCUACGGGAGGCAGCAGUGGGGAAUAUUGGACAAUGGGCGCAAGCCUGAUCCAGCCAUGCCGCGUGGGUGAAGAAGGCCUUCGGGUUGUAAAGCCCUUUUGUCCGGGACGAAAUCGUACGGGUGAAUAUCCCGUGCGGAUGACGGUACCGGAAGAAUAAGCACCGGCUAACUUCGUGCCAGCAGCCGCGGUAAUACGAAGGGUGCAAGCGUUACUCGGAAUUACUGGGCGUAAAGCGUGCGUAGGCGGUUUGUUAAGUCCGCUGUGAAAGCCCUGGGCUCAACCUGGGAAUUGCAGUGGAUACUGGCAAGCUAGAGUGCGGUAAAGGAUGGUGGAAUUCCCGGUGUAGCGGUGAAAUGCGUAGAGAUCGGGACGAACACCCGUGGCGAAGGCGGCCAUCUGGACCAGCACUGACGCUGAGGCACGAAAGCGUGGGGAGCAAACAGGAUUA